rnacentral:snRNA from 1 species
GUACUCGCUUCGGCGGUACAUAUACCUACUAAAAUUGGAACGAUACAGAGAAGAUUAGCAUGGCCCUUGCGCAAGGUUUACGCAAAAUCGUGAAGCGUUCCACAUUUAC